UACGUAGGGGGCAAGCGUUAUCCGGAUUUACUGGGCGUAAAGCGCCCGUAGGCGGCUUUUUAAGUUGGACGUGAAAGCUCCCGGCUUAACUGGGAGAGGCCGUUCAAAACUGAGAGGCUAGAGUGAGGAAGAGGAGAGCGGAAUUCCCGGUGUAGUGGUGGAAUGCGUAGAUAUCGGGAGGAACACCAGUGGCGAAAGCGGCUCUCUGGUCCUAAACUGACGCUGAGGGGCGAAAGCGUGGGGAGCGAACGGG
rnacentral:rRNA from 1 species